UAACAAAUACAUUCCUCCUGUGCCUUCGCCUCACGUUACACAGAGGGCAUUUUAACAGUUUGAGUGAUGUUGCUUUUAUGAUGCACAAAGUCAUUUUACUGAACAGCAUGACAGAAGUUUGCUCAGGCAGGAAUUUCAUUAACUUCAGGGUCCUUGUUGCACUUAGUGGCAUUGCUCUUGGCAUGCAAGAGUAAUGGGUUCCAGGGCCUGAAAUCUCCAUUAUUUUCCAUCCAGUUUAUUUAAAAACCAUUGGGUAGAUUACAAAAGGCUGCUAAACAAUGAUUAUUUGUUGCUCUGCUCAGAAGUUUGGCAUUGCAGGGUUCCCUGAGAAUGCUUUGGGGUGCUGCAGAAGGAAAUGCUGUAGAACAGUUCCUAAUCAUCACGUUCUUUAUUUUUUUGCUCUCAUAGGUUGAAACGUGGCUGCGCCUCUCCCCCUUCUGUACUUUCAGUAGAUGGAAACUGAACUCCAAAUUGCCUUAGGCACUUGGAGUUGUGUCUUCAUGGACAAAGCAAGGAGGCUGGCUGCAGUGACGUGCAGCUUGUAAAAGCUCCCUGCUGUAGCAAUGGCACUUUCAUGCACAUGGAGCAACCCAAGGCAGCCAACAGACACCUAUUUGUGCAGCAAGCAUUAAAAAACAGACCCACCUUGGCCAGAUCUGCUCCCAGGCCACGGCCAUCUCAGCGUGUUUAUGGCUUUCACUUGUGGGCUGUUUGGGAUCAUUAAAUAAAUGUCACAGGAACUCUGGAGGUGGUAAGUAAUCAGAGCAGCCGGGAGAGCUGAAACAACUGCAAGGGCAAGAAAAAUAUUUUGCAAAGGAAACUUCACUGAACUCUUCCACAGAAGACAAAGGAGGUGAAAAGGAGCAACUUUCUGUUUCAUUUUGAAUGGAUAUUUUUCCGCUCUCAUUGCUUUCCGGAAGACAAAAAAAAAAUGUUAGCAGAGAUGCUUUCAUCAGUAGGUAAUUCUGCUUGAGAUGUCUGGCAGAUGAAGUGAGGCUUUCAUUGCUCUGUUCUCCCCUCUGGGGCUGGGAUGGGUCACUUUUUCCAACAUGAGUGCUGGGAUGGAGCUUGCUGGUGUUCCAAGGACUCUGGCAUUUGGGGUGCCCUUGAGGCCCGGCCUUUUCUGCUGGGGUUGUGCAAUGCUUUGUUCUGGCUCACAGGCAGAACUAAAAGCAGAACUUAGGGAUCUCAUUUAUUGUCAGUCUGGAACCCGUUAGAGGAACGCUGAUCGAAGGGCAAUGUUAUGAGUUGCACUCUUGCUGCUGUUGUUGUCAUAAACUCACACGUUUAUGGAGUGUGCAUGGCUCUGGGAAUUGUUUUAGUGCUGAAUGCUGUUGUUCCAGUCUUUUAACCAACUUUCCUUUAUUGAUUACUAGGCUCCUUUUAGAUUUGAAGUCCCAGCCCAUGCUAGAAGCCCAUCUCCCCACACCGCUGCCCCAUUAGUGAUAUCAAACCAGUCACUUCCAGCAGAGCACAGACCCCACGUCAGCACUCCCCAAAUCCUGCAGACCCGUCCUCCCAUCAGGCCAAUCAAGAUAUGAUUAAGAAGACACAAAACCCACAGUGAGAGGAGUAAACCACUGUGGACAAUAGCGAUACUAAUUGCCUGGCAAGCCUGUACUCAGCACUUCAAGGAUCUUUUCCAGCUGGCUAUGCCCAGCCUUAUCCUUCCCAACAAGGAGGCGAAUUUGCAACAUGGUUAUGGUGGCUGCAUCUCUCUACCCCAUGCCAACUUGCUGCAAGCUGCUCCUGUUGGAUGUCCUACAGUACCAGUGGAUUCAUGUGUGUCUAGUAAUGGGAAACCUACCCUUACAUAGACCUAUAUGUAACCUUACUCCCUUUUUGCCUUCGUGCACCUCUUCUGGCAAUGCUUAGUCCCUAUAUGAAUGCUGUGGGAGCAUCCUUGUCGUAUCUGUGGCUCCUGGUGCCCAAACCCCAUCGCAGAGCAUUA